AAAUAGAUUAAAUUUAAAGUAGUUUAGGUGUAAAGGAGGGUGUUGGAAGGUUAGAGAAGAUUUGUAGUAAUUAUUUGAGAGAUUUAAUAUUAAUAUAAAGGGGUUUUUUAAAUGUUAAUAGAAAUAACAGUUUAGAUAGAGAAUUUGUAUAAUUUUUGGUAUUUGCGUUUUGUUUGGUUUAAGUGGAGGUAGAUUAUUGAAU
rnacentral:misc_RNA from 1 species